AGCGAACGUUAGCGGCGGGCCUAACACAUGCAAGUCGAACGCGAAAGGUCUUCGGACUGAUUAGAGUGGCGCACGGGUGAGUAACACGUAGGUAAUCUACCCUUCGGCGGGGGAUAACGUUCCGAAAGGAGCGCUAAUACCGCAUAAGACCACGGAGUCUCCGGACGCUGUGGGAAAAGGUGGCCUCUUCUUGAAAGCUAUCACCGGAGGAUGAGCCUGCGUCCCAUCAGCUAGUUGGUAAGGUAAUGGCUUACCAAGGCAAAGGACGGGUAGCUGGUUUGAGAGAAUGAUCAGCCACACUGGCACUGGAACACGGGCCAGACUCCUACGGGAGGCAGCAGUGAGGAAUAUUGGGCAAAUGGGCGAAAGCCUGACCCGAGCCACGCCGCGUGAGUGAUGAAGGCCCUCGGGUCGU
rnacentral:rRNA from 1 species